rnacentral:rRNA from 1 species
AGGAUAAACGCUGGCGGCGUGCCUUAUGCAUGCAAGUCGAACGAGGUUAGAAUUUCGGUUCGAAGCCUAGUGGCGCACGGGUGAGUAACACGUACGUGACCUGUCCCAACGUGGGGGAUAACUAGCCGAAAGGUUGGCUAAUACCGCAUGUGGACACCCCUUGGAAGGGGAUGUCGAAAGCAGCAAUGCGCGAUGGGAGGGGCGUGCGGCCGAUUAGCUAGUUGGUGUGGUAACGGCGCACCAAGGCGAUGAUCGGUAGCUGGUCUGAGAGGAUGGUCAGCCACACUGGGACUGAG